rnacentral:rRNA from 1 species
AUUGAACGCUGGCGGCAGGCCUAACACAUGCAAGUCGAGCGGAGCGGCGGACGGGUGAGUAAUGCCUGGGAAUCUGCCUGGUAGUAGGGGAUAACGUCCGGAAACGGGCGCUAAGACCGCAUACUAUCAGAUGAGCCUAGGUCGGAUUAGCUAGUUGGUGGGGUAAAGUCAUACCACGGCGACGAUCCGUAACUGGGCUGAGAGGAUGAUCAGUCACACUGGAACUGAGACACGGCCCAGACUCCUACGGGAGGCAGCAGUGGGGAAUAUUGGACAAUGGGCGAAACCCUGAUCCAGCCAUCCCGCGUGUGUGAAGAAGGUCUUCGGAUUGUAAAGCACUUUAGGUUGGGAGGCGUUAUCUGCAGAAUAAGCACCGGCUAACUUCGUGCCAGCAGCCGCGGUAAUAC